rnacentral:rRNA from 1 species
UACGAAGGUCCCGAGCGUUAUUCGGAAUCACUGGGCGUAAAGGGAGCGUAGGCGGCGUGGAAAGUCAGAUGUGAAAUCCCGGGGCUCAACCCCGGAACCGCAUCCGAUACUACCAUGCUUGAGAUUUGGAGGGGUAACUGGAAUUCUCGGUGUAGCAGUGAAAUGCGUGGAUAUCGAGAGGAACACCUGUGGCGAAAGCGAGUUACUGGACAACAUCUGACGCUGAGGCUCGAAGGCUAGGGGAGCAAAAGGG